UACGUAGGGGGCGAGCGUUAUCCGGAUUCACUGGGUGUAAAGGGAGCGUAGACGGCCAAGCAAGCCAGGGGUGAAAGCCCGGGGCCCAACUCCGGGACUGCCCUUGGAACUGCAUGGCUGGAGUGCGGGAGGGGCAGGCGGAAUUCCUGGUGUAGCGGUGAAAUGCGUAGAUAUCAGGAGGAACACCGGCGGCGAAGGCGGCCUGCUGGACCGCGACUGACGUUGAGGCUCGAAAGCGUGGGGAGCGAACAGG
rnacentral:rRNA from 1 species